UGCCAAACUUAGUGCGGGCACCCGGUCGGC
rnacentral:piRNA from 1 species